rnacentral:rRNA from 1 species
UACGGGGGGGGCAAGCGUUGUUCGGAAUUACUGGGCGUAAAGGGCUCGUAGGUGGCCAACUAAGUCAAACGUGAAAUCCCUCGGCUUAACCGGGGAACUGCGUUUGAUACUGGACGGCUUGAGUUUGGGAGAGGGAUGCGGAAUUCCAGGUGUAGCGGUGAAAUGCGUAGAUAUCUGGGGGAACACCGGUGGCGAAGGCGGCAUCCUGGACCGGCAUUGACGCUGAGGCGCGAAAGCUAGGGGAGCAAACGGG